UCCUCUUCCAGUUUGCCAGCAGCAGCAGAGUUGCUCCACUGCAGCUCACUGCAAAUUUCAGAUCUGAUCGGAAACUUACGUUGCAGUCUGGAAACCCAGCAGGAUGAAAAAAAAACAGGUGGGGAAGUGAACACCAUGUGGAGAUUGGCGCUCUCAGUUAUUUAAAGCCGUCCUAAUGUGCACUAAAUGAAAACAGAGACCCCCCGCCACCACCUGGAAAACACUGAAGGACUAAGUGGAUUGAAGAAGGCAGCCGCCGAGUGAGGUAGUCGGGGUAGGGAGGGGAGACGCAGAGAGGAUUAGGAGCUAAUCCAGUCCAACGAACAAUCCUUGCAGAGCUUUAUCAUUCUUGCAGGACAACGCAGACAAAACAGUUCACGGAUUUAUACGCAGAAACAACGUAUCCAUCUUCUUUUACCUCUGCUGUGACAGUCUUAAUUUGGAAAGAGCUUGGAUCUUUGCUGCAGAUGAACCAGUGGACUAAGAACAAAAGAGACAGGAUGUCCUGUGGACUUUAUGGUGCCACACAAAGAGAUGAACCUUUUAGUAGAAGGAGGAGCACAUGACUGUGGAUCUCUGCUUUUUCACCUCGGCCUGAUGGAAAGACACUAAUCGUCUGUUUGGAAUUUGUGAUCAGGCCUCAUUUACAGUGACUGAAAGCUGCUGCUGUGCAGAGAAGGGAGCUUGGUUGUUUGGGAAAGAUGUGGGAAAGAAUAAAGGAUAUAAACAGAUAUAAGUGGCUGUGCUGGCAUCCCAUGGCGUCGAUCAUAAAGAGAAGCAGUGGGUAGUGCUG